GUGGGGAAUAUUGGACAAUGGGCGAAAGCCUGAUCCAGCCAUGCCGCGUGUGUGAAGAAGGUCUUCGGAUUGUAAAGCACUUUAAGUUGGGAGGAAGGGCAGUAAGUUAAUACCUUGCUGUUUUGACGUUACCGCCAGAAUAAGCACCGGCUAACUUCGUGCCAGCAGCCGCGGUAAUACGAAGGGUGCAAGCGUUAAUCGGAAUUACUGGGCGUAAAGCGCGCGUAGGUGGUUUUGUAAGUUGGAGGUGAAAUCCCCGGGCUCAACCUGGGAACUGCCUCCAAAACUGCAUGACUAGAGUACGGUAGAGGGUAGUGGAAUUUCCUGUGUAGCGGUGAAAUGCGUAGAUAUAGGAAGGAACACCAGUGGCGAAGGCGACUACCUGGACUGAUACUGACACUGAGGUGCGAAAGCGUGGGGAGCAAACAGGAUUAGAAACCCGUGUAGUCC
rnacentral:rRNA from 1 species